rnacentral:rRNA from 1 species
UGCCCUGUGACAAUGUUUAACGGCCGCGGUAUUUUGACCGUGCGAAGGUAGCGUAAUCAUUUGUCUUUUAAAUGAAGACCCGUAUGAAAGGCAUCACGAGAGCUUAACUGUCUCUAUUUUCUAAUCAAUGAAAUUGAUCUUCUCGUGCAGAAGCGAGAAUAUACACAUUAGACGAGAAGACCCUAUGGAGCUUUAAACACUUAAAUUAAUUAUGUAAAAACUAUUAAUCCACGGAGACAAAUUACUUAUAUAAUAUUUCUAAUUUAACUGUUUUUGGUUGGGGCGACCAAGGGGAAAAUAAAAUCCCCCUUAUCGAUUGAGUACUUAGUACUUAAAAAUUAGAACGACAGUUCUUUUUAAUAAAACAUUUAACGAAAAAUGACCCAGUUUUUCUGAUCAAUGAACCAAGUUACCCUAGGGGUAACAGCGCAAUCCUUUCCAAGAGUCCAUAUCGCCGAAAGGGUUUACGACCUCGAUGUUGGAUCAGGACAUCCUAAU